GACGUCGAAUAUCGACGUCAUAAACACUAAAGUUGUUCGUGUUUAUGACGUCGAAUAUCGACGUCAUAAACACCAAAGUUGAUCGUGUUUAUGACGUCGAAUACCGACGUCAUAAACACCAAACUUGUUCGUGGUUAUGACGUCGAAUAUCAAUGUCAUAAACACCAAAGUUGAUCGUGUUUAUGACGUCGAAUAUCGACGUCAUAAACACCAAACUUGAUCGUGUUUAUGACGUCGAAUAUCGACGUC
rnacentral:miRNA from 1 species